rnacentral:snRNA from 1 species
AUACAACGGCGGAGAACGGAUACA